CCUACGGGAGGCAGCAGUGAGGAAUAUUGGUCAAUGGACGAGAGUCUGAACCAGCCAAGUCGCGUGAAGGAUGACUGCCCUAUGGGUUGUAAACUUCUUUUAUAUGGGAAUAAAAUGUUCCACGUGUGGGAUUUUGCAUGUACCAUAUGAAUAAGGCUCGGCUAACUCCGUGCCAGCAGCCGCGGUAAUACGGAGGUGCCGAGCGUUAUCCGGAUGUAUUGGGUGUAAGGGGAGCGUAGGUGGAGUGUUAAGUCAGUAGUGAAAGCUUGCGGCUCAACCGUGAAAUUGCAGUUGAAACUGGGAGGCUUGAGUACAGUAGAGGUGGGCGGAAUUCGUGGUGUAGCGGUGAAAUGCUUAGAUAUCACGAGGAACUCCGGUUGCGAAGGCAGUUCACUGGACUGCAACUGACGCUGAGGCUCGAAAGUGUGGGUAGCAAACAGGAUUAGAUACCCUUGUAGUC
rnacentral:rRNA from 1 species